UACGUAGGGUGCAAGCGUUGUCCGGAAUUAUUGGGCGUAAAGAGCUCGUAGGCGGUUUGUCGCGUCUGCUGUGAAAACUCGGGGCUUAACUGCGGGCCUGCAGUGGGUACGGGCAGACUAGAGUGCGGUAGGGGAGACUGGAAUUCCUGGUGUAGCGGUGAAAUGCGCAGAUAUCAGGAGGAACACCGAUGGCGAAGGCAGGUCUCUGGGCCACUACUGACGCUGAGAAGCGAAAGCAUGGGGAGCGAACAGG
rnacentral:rRNA from 1 species